UUUGUUAACGCUUCUAUUACUCUCAAGUGUAAAAAAACAGUGAAUCUAUAUAAUGAGAAUGUUAAAAGCGUAUAAAUGAAACCUCUAAGAGACACAAAUUGAAGCAUCGGAACAUAAAGAAAGUGAAGAUUAAGACAAUAUAUAUUAUCAAAACAAUAUGGCAUAUUAACAAUACUCAAAAAUUGAAGAAAUGACAUCUAUCCUUUUAACAAGCACAGCAAAAAAAGUUUUUUUAAUAAGUUAUUCUACAUGUAGCUAUUUCGCAUAUGUAAAAAUUAGUAAAAAACUGUAAAACUUUAUGUUUAAUUAUAAAAACAUGAGUUUUAACUAUACAUGUUUCAUCCUUUUGACAACAGCUAUUAAAAUGAUCUAUAACAAAUAUGUAUGAAUACACAUAAAGUACUCAUGGAUCAUCAUAAAGUGUUGGGUUGCGUACGAUCCUCGAAGUCAAACGACGUCGACGGUGGCUAACAGUUGGACCGUUUUUUCGGGCGUAUAAGUUAAACAUAUUCUAACAGGUACGACUGUGGGUUGGCUGAAACAUGUAUAACCUUCUCCCGUAGAAAUUAAGCGAGUCUGGACUGGUAAGGUUACGUUGAAUUUAUCAAAAUGAUUGAAUAAUGCAAACAAUUUUUUACUCUUAAAACAUUAAGCAACUUGUUGCCGUCACAAAUUAAUUCGUCGGGAGAGCAAACCAACAUCAACAAGUUGCCGUUAACAUGCUGUAGUCUAGUGUCGAAUUCACGUGAGUACAACUUAAGACGCACAAUGCUGAAGCACCUUGUCUCGAGUUUCUAGAAAUUAGUUGCUGCAACGGUUGACAGCAACAUGACGGCAACUUCAUAGGCGUUUGGUUAUCUGGGUUGUAGCAAGUUUACCGUAGAUUUGCGGAUAUCGAAAGAAACCAUUUACUUAGAAUAAAUAAUAUUUACUUGAAAUUAGUAAUUAUUUUUCUGUAUGUGUCGACGAGCGGAGACACGGCUUACUUGUAUUUAUCAUAAUAGCGUUUUCGAUUUGCUGACUCGAUCUGACUCCGAGUCAAUGGUUUGUUCUUUUCCACUGCAAAAAAGUGAUAAACUGUGCAUGAAAUGAAGAUAAAAGGAACAGACCAUUGACCCGAAGUCGGGGACGGAGGCCACAAAAAACAUCGACAGGAACGGAGAGAAUAGCCACAGAGAUAACUGAGAACACUUCUCGGAGUGAUUGUGCACGAUUCGUGAUUGUGACUGUGUUUUACACAGCUUUGGACACUUGCGGUUCGAGUUUGAGUCAACCUUCCUGGAAUAUAACCUACGGUCAUCGUGGAUUUCAUACCAGACUCACCCAUUGGACAUCCCUCCAGCUUGGAGGGUAAAUCUAGGAAAAGAACGGCGGAGGAAUCUCCCAAAUCAAUCUCCUCACAAACCCAGGACAAAUUCCAGAGGACGGAUGAAGAUCAUAUUUUAGGUUAAUAGGCUUUGUUCCUGGUACUGUGGUUCAUCACAUAGGAAAACGUCAAAAAAAAAAAAAAAAAA